rnacentral:rRNA from 1 species
UACGAAGGGGGCUAGCGUUGCUCGGAAUCACUGGGCGUAAAGCGCACGUAGGCGGAUCUUUAAGUCAGGGGUGAAAUCCUGGAGCUCAACUCCAGAACUGCCCUUGAUACUGGCGACCUUGAGUCCGGGAGAGGUGAGUGGAACUGCGAGUGUAGAGGUGAAAUUCGUAGAUAUUCGCAAGAACACCAGUGGCGAAGGCGGCUUACUGGCCCGGUACUGACGCUGAGGUGCGAAAGCGUGGGGAGCAAACAGG